rnacentral:rRNA from 1 species
CCGAUUGACUAAGGUUUCCAGAGGAAGGCUCGUCCGCUCUGGGUUAGUCGGGUCCUAAGCUGAGGCCGACAGGCGUAGGCGAUGGAUAACAGGUUGAUAUUCCUGUACCACCUAGUAUCGUUUUAAUUGAUGGGGGGACGCAGUAGGAUAGGCGAAGCGUGCUGUUGGAGUGCACGUCCAAGCAGUAAGGCUGAGUGUUAGGCAAAUCCGGCACUCAUAAGGCUGAGCUGUGAUGGGGAGAGGAAAUUGUUUCCU